UACGAGGGGGGCAAGCGUUGUUCGGAAUUAUUGGGCGUAAAGGGCGCGUAGGCGGCCCGCUAAGUCGAACGUGAAAUCCCCCGAGCUCAACUCGGGAACUGCGUCCGAUACUGGCGGGCUUGAAUCCGGGAGAGGGAUGCGGAAUUCCAGGUGUAGCGGUGAAAUGCGUAGAUAUCUGGAGGAACACCGGUGGCGAAGGCGGCAUCCUGGACCGGCAUUGACGCUGAGGCGCGAAAGCUAGGGGAGCAAACGGG
rnacentral:rRNA from 1 species